ensembl:lncRNA
UUGGAUUUAGAGAGACAACACAUAAAAUACUUUGAUCAUACACAAGUUCAUAUUUGGUAAGAGGAUCAGGUUGUCACAUGUUUAUAGUUCUUUUUUUUUAUUAUUGUUUUCUGUCUUUAGUAAUGGAGCAAUGCUGGGGAAGUGUCAAUAUCUUUCAGAAACACCAAUGGGGAACAGUAUUUCAGCAUAGGUAACUAAUCAAUACACAGCGUGUGCACUUAGCAUUUGAAAACAGGAGGGCGCGUGCAAGAUGAUACCCACUGCUAGGUUCCUGGGUUCCUUGUUCUGCUGCUAUAUUUACACCCGUGCUUUCUUGGUCCAUAUUCUGAGCAGUAGCAUCUACUCCAAAUGAUGCUAGCAGGGACAGUACCUGCGAGGUUGGCUGCUGGUGACCCUCCUUACUGGUCUCCUGUUCUCAGAGACACUGAAGUUGCAUUCCCUUUGCAUGGUGUGAAAUCACACAAUUCUCAAAGGAGACUUCUUAGGAGCAAGCGGAGCCAAGGGCACUCCCUGUGAGGGCUGAGGUGGAGGGCACACCGUGUGGCAGAGAGAGUACGGCACGGAUGCAAGUGUGGUUCUCAGAAUAUCAGUAUGGCCACCACACAGGAAUAGACACAUCAAUAAUAUGUUGUACAAGCUUCUACAGCAACACAUGUUGACUUGCAACACUGCAAAUUCGAUCUAAAGUGCACAACCCCAAUCUGAGGGGAAGAGACAGUACUAGCAGUAUAUUAAAGGCAACACAGUUACACACAGGAUUAACUUCCUUUUCUUUCCUCGUGUCCUUGACACAGUCCAGGAAGUCAAUACCAUUUAUGUGUCUCUGAUGAAGACAUACCACACUUUUUUUUUCAAGUAUUUAAAAAUAAGAAACACAAUAUUGCUGUCUAAAUGAAAAUGGCCAUGUCAAAUGUGAUUAAAGCUAAAACCCAACUUUCCUAAUAUUUGUAAAAGAAUCAGUUCAGUCACUCAGUCGUGCCUGACUCUUUGUGACCCCAUGUAAAAGAAUGGUCCCACAUAAAGGCCUUUGGCACUGGGAAUUUGCAGUAAAGUUCAAAACAAUCUCCCUUCCUUCCUUCACUCCUUCCUUCCCUACUUCCUUUCCACUUGAGCAGAUUGCAAACCUACUUUAAAGAAUGUUUAAACUACAGCGAUCUAUCAGGCUUUUAUUUUCCUCCUUCCCUGGGUUAUGGUUGGUAGCACUUCACUGCAUAGAAUGGAGCAAGGCUCCCAGCAAACUUGGGAAAGAACCUGGAAAGGACAGGGUGUUGGGGAAAUGAUCUAUUGAUAAAAACUCUUUUCUGGAAUUUCAAACACAGGCACAAAUGUUCCCUUUUAAGCUCAGUCGUACCAUCAAGUGAAAAAGCAGUCGAUUCUGCUAGGGAGUCUGGACCCCCUAGGUAGAAGCUUCUUGGAGUAGAGAGGGGUCUGUCCACAUCAGGACAUUGGGCUCCAACCUCCAGGCAGGAUGGUGGGUUUGAUAAUUAGCAUCUCUGCCUCUGAGAUGGGUCCUUUGGGCCUGAGACUCAUGAUAGCUGGGCAGCUCUGUGCUUAUUCUCAACAGCCAAAUUCUAGAAUGCUUGGCUAUUAGACAGAGCCUAGAAGGGGAGGCUUACUCCUUCAUAAAAUUCUGGGGCGUAAGGUUUUCUUCUAAUAGUCAUGCACGCAUGCCUGCUAAGUUGCUUCAGUCAUGUCUGACUGUAGCCAGCCAGGUUCCUCUGGAUUCUCCAGGCAAGAAUACUGGAAUGGGUUGCCAUUUCCUUCUCCAGGAGAUCUUCCUGAACCAGGGAUCGAACCCAUGUCUCUUAUGUCUCCCGAGUUGGCAGGCGGGUUCUUUACCACUAGUGCCACCUGGGAAGUCUAAUAGGCAUAGGAAAUCCAUUUGCUUCUUAGAUGGAGAGGGACCAAAGCCACGCGCAUCUCAAGUAUCAGUGAUUCCUAUCCGACCUAGGGGAGAGAUGUAGGGGCAAGCUCAUGAAGCUUGCAGGUGGUUGGAUCCUACGGUCAAUGAGAGGGCUUUGCUACAGGAUGAAGGAUGGAGUCCUCUUCCCUCCCUCAUAUACCUACAGUCUUCCUGAUCACAGAUCUGAGUGGUCCAUACAGAAAGGAUGAAUG